rnacentral:rRNA from 1 species
UUGGAGGGCAAGUCUGGUGCCAGCAGCCGCGGUAAUUCCAGCUCCAAUAGCGUAUAUUAAAGUUGUUGCAGUUAAAAAGCUCGCAGUUGAAUUUCGGGGUCAGUAGGUUGGUCAUGCCACUGGUAUGUACUGGUCUCACUGAUUCCUCCUUCCUGAUGAACUGUAAUGCCAUUAAUUUGGUGUUGCAGGGAAUCUGGACUGUUACUUUGAAAAAAUUAGAGUGUUUAAAGCAGGCUAACGCCUGAAUACAUUAGCAUGGAAUAAUGAAAUAGGACGUUCGAUCCUAUUUUGUUGGUUUCUAGGAUUGACGUAAUGAUUAAUAGGGAUAGUUGGGGGCAUUAGUAUUCAAUUGUCAGAGGUGAAAUUCUUGGAUUUAUUGAAGACUAACUACUGCGAAAGCAUUUGCCAAGGAUGUUUUCAUUAAUCAAGAACGAAAGUUAGGGGAUCGAAGACGAUCAGAUACCGUCGUAGUCUUAACCAUAAACUAUGCCGACUAGGGAUCGGAUGAUGUUAAUUUUUUAAUGACUCAUUCGGCGCCUUACGGGAAAC